rnacentral:rRNA from 1 species
AUUGAACGCUGGCGGCAUGCCUUACACAUGCAAGUCGAACGGUAACGGGCCUUCGGGUGCCGACGAGUGGCGAACGGGUGAGUAAUACAUCGGAACGUGCCCGAUCGUGGGGGAUAACGAGGCGAAAGCUUUGCUAAUACCGCAUACGAUCUACGGAUGAAAGCAGGGGACCGCAAGACCUUGCGCGGACGGAGCGGCCGAUGGCAGAUUAGGUAGUUGGUGGGAUAAAAGCUUACCAAGCCGACGAUCUGUAGCUGGUCUGAGAGGAUGAUCAGCCACACUGGGACUGAGACACGGCCCAGACUCCUACGGGAGGCAGCAGUGGGGAAUUUUGGACAAUGGGCGCAAGCCUGAUCCAGCCAUGCCGCGUGCAGGAUGAAGGCCUUCGGGUUGUAAACUGCUUUUGUACGGAACGAAAAGCCUUCUUUUAAUACAGGAGGGUCAUGACGGUACCGUAAGAAUAAGCACCGGCUAACUACGUG